GAUGAACGCUAGCUACAGGCUUAACACAUGCAAGUCGAGGGACCGGCGCACGGGUGAGUAACACGUAUCCAACCUGCCCUUUACUCGGGGAUAGCCUUUCGAAAGAAAGAUUAAUACCCGAUAUAAAGGAUGGGGAUGCGUUCCAUUAGGUUGUUGGUGAGGUAACGGCCCACCAAGCCUUCGAUGGAUAGGGGUUAUGAGAGGAAGGGCCCCCACAUUGGAACUGAGACACGGUCCAAACGCCUACGGGGGGCAGCAGUGAGGAAUAUUGGUCAAUGGGCGCUAGCCUUAACCAGCCAAGUAGCGUGCAGGAUGACGGCCUAUGGGUUGUAAACUGCUUUUAUAUGGGGUUAGGUACCAUAUGAAUAAGGACCGGCUAAUUCCGUGCCAGCAGCCGCGGUAAUUC
rnacentral:rRNA from 1 species